rnacentral:rRNA from 1 species
UACGUAGGGGGCUAGCGUUGUCCGGAAUCAUUGGGCGUAAAGCGCGUGUAGGCGGUCCGGUAAGUCCGCUGUGAAAGUCGGGGGGCUCAACCCUCGGAUGCCGGUGGAUACUGUCGGGCUUGAGUACGGAAGAGGCGAGUGGAAUUCCUGGUGUAGCGGUGAAAUGCGCAGAUAUCAGGAGGAACACCAGUUGGCGAAGGCAGGUCUCGCUGG